rnacentral:rRNA from 1 species
AUGUUAGGAGAAAACAUCAACUUUCUUUGCUGGAAUGUAAGGGGCCUAAACUGUGUCAAUCGGCGUUCCACCGUCCAUGAAACCAUUGCAGCAACAACCUGUCAUGUUGCCUGCCUACAGGAGACCAAACUUGAUCAUAUGGACCAAUUCAUUGCCUCUUACCUGGGUGGUAAUAGGCUGCGCAGCUUUGCUCAUCGGCCAGCUACUGGCACUAGGGGUGGCAUACUGAUGUUAUGGGACGACAAUGCUGUCCAGAUUUCCGACGUGGUCAGCACCGUCUACUGUCUCUGGGCCAUGGUUCUCAUACGUGCAACUGGGAAUAUGUUCAAGAUCACU